UAACAGCACUCUCCUCAACAGAUUUUUCCCUCUCCUUUUGCUUUGGACUCAGGGGGACCACAAACACUGCUUUGUUCAUGCCCCGGGGUGCUGGGUUAUACGUUUGGUUUUUGUGGUUUAAAACCAAUUGUUUGUCUGUAUAAUUGUAUUUAUUGUAUUAUAUUUAUUAAAUUGUUAUUCUGAUUUAUAA